UAUACUUUAUGGGCUUGAUUCUGAUCCUAUCAAGGCCAACUGAAAUUUUGCCACUAACCUCUAUGGAAACAGAACUUGGUUCUGUGUGUUUUUCUUUUCAGGGAAGUUCAACGCAGCCUGUUUUAAAAAAAAAUUUUAAGUAAGCAAGCCUAUGCCAGUAAUCCAGUGCUCACAACUGACCCUGGAAUGACAAACCAGGAUGCACACACAGCCUAGUAAUACCGAGCAAUCAAACUAGGAUAAGCCCUGCUCACAAGUAACCCUACAGCAACAAAGACGUAUGUGAAAUGGUGGAAAAGGCAUUUGGCAUUGAAACAUUUCAAUUUCAAGCUUCCAGGAUAACGUGAAAUAAUAUGUAUAAUCCGAAGUGACUUGGCAACGCCCUUUUACAAACACUGGGUUGCAUCCAGAAAAGCUGUAUUUUUAUUGUUAAACCAAAAAAGGAGAAAGCUUGGCAGCUGUUCCAUUUCACGGCCAAAGAGAAAGGCAUCUAGCUGGUCUUACCUCUUACUACAAGAGCAGAAACUACAAGCAAGCCCUCCAAAAAAACAACCACCUAGCUCCUUACAAAGGAAAGUUUGUUAGCAGCUGCCUAAUCAAGUAACUUCAUCUUACCUUGGAGUGGAAUUUCGUAAGACUGCUCUCUCAACAUUGUUUCUCGUGAAGAUUUGCAAUCAAUGUUCCAGGCUUCCGCCCACCCUCAGCUAAGAUGCAUGGAUUCUAAUUGAAAUGUACAAGGUGCCAGUCACUGCCUGAAUCUAGCCACCUUAAGGUGCACAAACAUUUAGAAGCAAGAGACAUUGUAAGAACAUGCUGGAACCUGUCAAAGGACUUGGCCUCCAGUGCGGCAGCUAGGGAUGAGCACCCGGCACUGGCCACUAUCAGAAGACAGAAUACUGCGCUAGAUGCACCUUUGGGGCUGAUCUACACUACGUCGUUAGAUCAACAUUCUCCACAUUAAGUCAAACGUAUAAUGUGCUUGACUACACUACAGAGCCCUUCCCGCCGACCUAAAGGGCUUUUAAAAUCGACGCCUAUACUCCACCUCAACAAGAGGAGUAGCGCUAGAUUCCACCUUCCAGGGUCGAAUUAGGGGUAGUGCAGACACAGCACAGCGUAUUUUGACUUGUUUGGCCUCUGGGAGGUGUCCCAAAGUGCUCCAAUGUGUCCGCUCUGGACAGCGCUUUCAACUCCACUGCACUUCAGCCAGGUAAACAGGAAAAGCCCUGGGAACUUUUGAAUUUCAUUUCCUGUUUGAUCAGCGUGGAGAGUUCACCACCACAGCUGACCAUGGCUGCCCAGGUACGCAAACGCACUCCAGCGUGGAGCAUACAGGAGACACUGAAUCUGAUCGCUGUGUGGGGAGAAGAGUCUGUGCAGACAGAGCUCUGAACCAGCAGAAGAAAUGCUGACAUCGAUGCCAAAAUCGCACAGGGCACGGGGGGGAAAAGGCUACCCCAAGGACACACAGCAGAGCCGUGUAAAAAUAACAUUUCAGGCAAGCGUACCAGAAGACAAGGGAGGUGAACAGUCACUCUGGCGCUGAGCCACAAACACGCCGUUUCUAUGAGCGGCUGCAUGCGAUUCUAGGCGGGGACCCCACCAGUAUCCCAACACUCUCUGUAGAAACCUCCCAGGCGACCUCGGGCAACAAUGAGGAGGAUAUUGUUGAUGAUGAUGAGGAGGAGGAGGAGAAUGCACAGCAAGCAAGCAGAGGAUCCAUUCUCCCCAACAGCCAGGACCUUUUCCUAAUUCUGGAGCCAAACCCCGCCCAGGACCCACUGGUGCGGGACUGUGAUGGCAGGGAAGGCACCUCUGCUGCAACAUUUUCUCUGGGUGCUUUCCUCCACUCCAGCACAAAGGCUGUCCCAGAUUAGAAGGCGAAAAAAGAGGACAAGGGAAGACGUUCUGUGAUUUGAUGCAUUCCUCUGAGGCUGACAGGGCCCAGCUGCAUGCAUGGAGGCUCACACUCUCAGAGAGCAUGCACGUCGACCAAGAGGGCAGGAAAGCAAGCAGGGAAGAAGAGCGUAACACGUAAGAGGAGAUGUUGUGGCUUAUGGGGGAGCAAACAGACAUGUUGAGGCAUCUGGUUGAGGUGCAGGAAAGGCAGCUAGACCUUAGAGUCCCGCUGCACCCAAUGAUGAACCAGCUGCCCUCCUCCCCAAGUUCCAUAUCCUCCUCUCCCAGACGUCCUAGAAUGCGGCGGGGAGGGGGGGUUCGUGAGGAGGAGGUGAGAGAGGAAGCUCCGUUAUCCCUUGAACUCAACACCAGGGGAUAGUUCAUGGAGCAGAAAGUGGUCAUUCCCACGGCUUUGAUUGCUAGACAGUGCAGUUGUAAUAAGCUAUGUGUCCCUACCCCUCCCUCCCUGUGUUAUCAGGCCCUUACCUGGUUAUCACUAUUCAUUGCUGUCUCUGUUCAGUGGUUGUUAGCAUAAUAAAAAUGCAUGAAUUGA